rnacentral:rRNA from 1 species
AUGUUAGCUUGCAUGGAUACUGUGUUACAGAAAUGUUUUGAACAAUCAGGUACUAUCAAGAUUGUCGAGAAACUGGAAGUUCUGUACCACAAAGAACUAGCUAAAGUUCAUGAGAUGAUUGAAGCAAUGAAAGAGUGCAUGAUAACUGAAGGUGUUAAGCAAGGUGCUAGGCUUGCAGACUAUUAUGAUAGUAUAACUAUAAUGGGAGUUAAUUUUCCCAUCACACCAGAAAAUGACUUACUCCUCACUCCGCUUUAUGAAGCAAUGCUCAAAACCAAUGAGACUGGUUGCAGAACCAACAAAAGUUAUUGGUGA